rnacentral:rRNA from 1 species
AUUAAACGCUGGCGGCAUGCCUUACACAUGCAAGUCGAACGGUAGCGCGGGGCAACCUGGCGACGAGUGGCGAACGGGUGAGUAAAGCAUCGGAACGUGCCCUGGAAUGGGGGAUAACGUAGCGAAAGUUACGCUAAUACCGCAUAUUCUGUGAGCAGGAAAGCAGGGGAUCGCAAGACCUUGCGUUCUGGGAGCGGCCGAUGUCGGAUUAGCUAGUUGGUGGGGUAAAAGCCUACCAAGGCGACGAUCCGUAGCGGGUCUGAGAGGAUGAUCCGCCACACUGGGACUGAGACACGGCCCAGACUCCUACGGGAGGCAGCAGUGGGGAAUUUUGGACAAUGGGGGCAACCCUGAUCCAGCCAUGCCGCGUGAGUGAAGAAGGCC